rnacentral:rRNA from 1 species
CAGGACGAACGCUGGCGGCGUGCCUAAUACAUGCAAGUCGAACGGUCUUUCUAUGGAAGCUUGCUUCCACUGAGAAGAUAGUGGCGAACGGGUGAGUAACACGUGGGUAACCUGCCCAUAAGAGGGGGGAUAACAUCCGGAAACGGGUGCUAAUACCGCAUAGUUUUCUUGAUCGCAUGAUCGGGAAAGGAAAGACGGCCUUUGUGCUGUCGCUUAUGGAUGGACCCGCGGCGUAUUAGUUAGUUGAUGAGGUAACGGCUCACCAAGACGAUGAUACGUAGCCGACCUGAGAGGGUGAUCGGCCACAUUGGGACUGAGACACGGCCCAAACUCCUACGGGAGGCAGCAGUAGGGAAUCUUCCGCAAUGGACGAAAGUCUGACGGAGCAACGCCGCGUGAGUGAAAGAAGGUUUUCGGAUCGUAAAACUCUGUUGUCAGAGAAGAACAAGUUGGAGAGUAACUGCUCCAGCCUUGACGGUAUCUGACCAGAAAGCCACGGCUAACUACGUGCCAGCCGCCGC